rnacentral:rRNA from 1 species
ACGAACGCUGGCGACGCGCUUAACACAUGCAAGUCGAACGGAAAGGCCUGCUUUCCCUUGUGGAUUGCGGGUACUCGAGUGGCGAACGGGUGAGUAACACGUGAGUGAUCUGCCCCCAACUUGGGUAUAAGCCUGGGAAACUGGGUCUAAUUCCCGAUAGGACUGCAGGGUGGUGCCUGUGGUGGAAAACGAUUUUCUAGUGGUUGGGGAUGAGCUCGCGGCCUAUCAGCUUGUUGGUGGGGUAAUGGCCUACCAAGGCGGCGACGGGUAGCCGGCCUGAGAGGGUGGACGGCCACAUUGGGACUGAGAUACGGCCCAGACUCCUACGGGAGGCAGCAGUGGGGAAUAUUACACAAUGGGCGGAAGCCUGAUGCAGCGACGCCGCGUGGGGGAUGACGGCCUUCGGGUUGUAAACUCCUUUCGACCGCGAGGAAGCCACCUGGUUGGAAGGGUGGUGACGGUAGUGGUAGAAGAAGUACCGGCUAACUACGUG